rnacentral:rRNA from 1 species
CCAGACUCCUACGGGAGGCAGCAGUCGGGAAUAUUGCGCAAUGGAGGAAACUCUGACGCAGUGACGCCGCGUAUAGGAAGAAGGUUUUCGGAUUGUAAACUAUUGUCGUUAGGGAAGAGAAAGGACAGUACCUAAGGAGGAAGCUCCGGCUAACUACGUGCCAGCAGCCGCGGUAAUACGUAGGGAGCGAGCGUUGUCCGGAAUUACUGGGUGUAAAGGGAGCGUAGGCGGGAUUGCAAGUUGGAUGUGAAAACUGCGGGCUCAACCCGGAGCGUGCAUUCAAAACUGCGAUUCUUGAGUGAAGUAGAGGCAAGCGGAAUUCCUAGUGUAGCGGUGAAAUGCGUAGAUAUUAGGAGGAACGCCAGUGGCGAAGGCGGCCUGCUGGACGGUGACUGACGCUGAGGCUCGAAAGCGUGGGGAGCAAGCAGGAUUAGAUACCCCAGUAC